UUUAAGACGAUUAUUGCACUGCAAAAUCUGAGUAUCUAGUCGUAUCCCCAUCACGUCGAAAAAACAAAUGGGUUCUGAUAUCAUCAACCGGCUGUGAGGAGCCGAGGGAGUGCUGUGACAUGGAUUUUUUCCCCGGCGGGUUACACAAGUAGUCAUAGUCAACUUUUACAAGUUCGUGAACCUCGAUGAGUUCCUCCUUCAAUUGGCUCGUUUUGUCUCCUUGAACUGGGUGUGCGUUUGCGACUGUGUGCGCGCUCGUGUGGUAGCAGAGAAAAUGGAGUAUAUGCUACUAUGGAGGAUGUUACCUCUGCUGACACUGGGCGCAUCUUUUUUGUUCCUGUUCUACUUCCAGAACUACUCUUCCAAGCAGUUGCCUCACAAGGAUUGCAGCCUUCUUCCUUACCAGCGGUAUUGGAUAGCCAGCAAGCGUAUUGUGACACCACAAGGGGUCAUUUCUGGUGCAGUUGAAAUAAAGGAAGGGAAGAUUGUAUCCAUUGUUAAAGAAGAGGAUAGACAUUGGAAUUCCAAGGAGGGACAUGUAGUUGAUUAUGGAGAGGCUGUUGUCAUGCCUGGCCUGAUUGACGUGCAUGCACAUCUUGAUGAUCCUGGAAGAGCUGAUUGGGAAGGAUUUCCAUCAGGGACUAAAGCAGCUGCUGCAGGCGGUAUAACAACAUUGGUUGACAUGCCUCUGAAUAACUUUCCUUCAACCGUGUCUCAAGAGACUUUGAAACUCAAGAUUGAAGCAGCAGAGGAGAGGAUUUAUGUUGAUGUUGGUUUCUGGGGAGGUUUAGUUCCUGAAAAUGCAUUCAACUCAAGUGCUCUUGAGGGUCUCCUAAAUGCAGGUGCUCUUGGUUUGAAGUCCUUCAUGUGUCCUUCAGGGAUCAAUGAUUUUCCCAUGACAAACAUCAGUCAUAUUAAGGAGGGACUGUCUGUACUGGCAAAAUACAGAAGACCAUUACUUGUACAUGCAGAGCUUCAACAAGAUUCUGAAAGCCACUUGGGUAUUAAGGAGGGUAGUGAUGAUCCUCGUUUGUACUCAACUUAUCUGAAGACUAGGCCACCUUCAUGGGAGGAGGCAGCUAUUAAGGAGCUUGUAACUGUCACAAAGGACACAAGGAAUGGUGGCCCCGCAGAAGGAGCUCAUCUUCACAUUGUUCACUUGUCUGAUUCGAGUUCUUCCUUAGAUCUUAUUAAGGAAGCAAAAGGUGGUGGUGACAGCAUAACCGUGGAGACAUGCCCCCAUUAUUUGGCUUUCUCAGCAGAAGAGAUUCGGGAUGGAGAUACUCGUUUUAAGUGUUCUCCACCCAUUCGUGAUUCAGCCAAUAAAGAAAAACUAUGGGAAGCUUUGUUGGAAGGACAUAUUGAUGUGUUAAGUUCUGAUCAUUCUCCGACACUGCCAGAACUCAAGCUGCUUGAUGAUGGCAACUUUUUGAAGGCCUGGGGUGGCAUAUCGUCUUUGCAGUUCAUUCUUCCUGUGACGUGGUCAUAUGGGCAGAAAUAUGGGGUAACUUUGGAACAAUUGGCUCUAUGGUGGAGUGAGCGGCCUGCCAAAUUUGCCGGACUAGAACUAAAGGGUGCGAUUGCUGUGGGAAACCAUGCAGAUAUUGCCAUAUGGGAACCAGAAGUGGAGUUUGACCUCAAUGAUGGCUAUACUGUAUACCUUAAGCAUCCUAGUAUCUCUGCCUACAUGGGAUCAAAACUAUCUGGAAGAACGCUGGCAACUUUUGUAAGGGGGAACCUUGUCUACAAAAAGGAGGAGCAUGCUCCUGCUGCCUGUGGUGUUCCCAUCCUUGCAAGAUGAAAAACUUAAUUUACCAGUUGCUCUUGUAUGUAACUGAUUCUAAAUCUCAAUGCCUAGUUUCAGUCGAUCGAGGGUGGACCAGUUACUGUUGGGUGGGGGGCAAUGCCACUGGCGGUCCAAACAACGGAGUCUUCAUCGACCAGAAAAUUUUAUUACAAACACGGGAGUCUCAUCGGAAUGUAUCUAAAUUUUUAGUGAAACGAAGUUACCUCUAAUAUGCGAUCAGUGAAAGAAGAAUAUUAAGAUCUUGAAGACAAAGAUGUAGCAACUUGCAUGAACAAAACAAAAUUGUCGCAUCUAAGAAACAAGUGUUUGGUCUCGCAUUAAAAAAUAAUAAUCAUUAUAUAUAAUGACUGAAUUCGG